AAAACCUCUUCCCAUCUUUCUCUGGCUUUGAUUGUGUGUGUAGAGGUCCCAAAUUGGGCGUUCAGUGUUGUCUCGUACAGUAGGUUAGUUGAGAUUUGCGAUAGUAGUUCUUUUUUUCCGGGUCUGGUGGUCUGUUUCCAGGCUCUUGCGAUCAGUGUGUUUGCUGCUAUUAGUUUGUGGAAUACAAGUGUCGCUUGUGGUUUUUUGUGCAGCUCUAGUGUCAUAAACAGUAACCCACAUUCGGGUUGUAGGGGCGUACCCGUGUUUAGUGCUUCCUCAAUGAUUUCUCCCACCUCUUUCCAGAAGGGUUUUAUCAGGCUGCAUGUCCACCAUAUAUGGUACAGGGACCCCUCCUCUGUCUUACAUCUCCAGCAUUCUUUGGUUGCAUGUGGGUACAUUUGCGCCAGUCUAGUCGGCACCAUGUACCACCUAUACUGUAAUUUCCUCAGGAGCUCCAGGUGUGAUGCACACCUAGAUCUCCCUUUGUGGGCAGUGAAAGCUGUUUGCCAUUGGCUGUCGGUGAAACGUUAAACCCUACCUAACUACUGUGAAUGUUGAUGUUCUGGCAGAGCUUCUCUCCAAGCACCCUUCUACACAUCUUGUGGAGUAUUUGAUUGCAGGGAUUUCCCAAAGGUUUCAUACGGGCCUCAUUUACAUACCAGGGGGUACAUGGGAAGCCAACAACCUCCAGUCCGCCCUUUGUGACACAGACG